ensembl:lncRNA
GCAGCCCCCGAGGGCAGCAGAGAUGCUGACGCUGGUGAGGGGGCGCGGUGGGCAGGAGAGAGGCAGGGUGCAGACACAGGCGCUGGAGUCAGAGCCCGGGGGCGCCCUGUAACUGCAGACUGUCCUGCAGAGACCAUGCCCACCCAGGACAGCUUUGGGCAGACCCCACGGAACACACAGACGAGGUUCCGGGUGGAGACAUGCCCCUGAGAAUCGAGCCAGGCCCGGGGACCCUGGUGUGGACAGCGUUGAGGGCAAGCAGGGUCCAGCUCCUGUAGCCUCCACACCAGCCCUCCAGAUCACAGUGGGGAGAGGGCCCUGGUCCCCUCACUCAGGCCACCAGCCUGGAGGCCCCAAGCCCCUCCCCACGUGUCCCCGGGGCCUCUGACCUUGGCCGCCCACUCUCAGCAGGGCCCCUCCCAAGGGUUUCUGCUCGGGGGCCAGUGGAAGGGGAAAUGACACCCCCUCCCCCGCAAUCAUGCACCUCUUUCUGCUUUUCUGCAGGUUUUUUAACUAAUUUAAAACCUAUUUAAGUUGAUUUUGGUAAUUUAUAUUGUCUUAGAACGUUGUCAGUUUCAUCAAGAGAAUCCCACUCUCUAACUUGUUACUUUUAAUCCCAGCUCUCUGCCCGCCUCUGGGCCCGCUGGGCCUCUGUGUUCCCUCGCUCUGUUCAUUAGCCCGUCAGACGUUUGUUUAUUUUAUUUAUUUAUUUUGAGGCACCAGCUCGUGGAUUUACUGAGGAGUUCCCCCAUUUUUCUUGUUUCCAAUUCAUUAAUCCGCCUUUAUCUGUACCCCCUCCUGCCUCCCUGGAUUUACUUUAUUGUUCUGUUUUCCCUCCUUGUGUCCAAUGUUUAGUUCAUUUAUUUUCAGUCUCUAGCUCAGUAAUAAAAAUAUUUAAGGCUGUGAAUUCUCCGCCAACUCCUCCUGAAGCUGGCUCCGCGGACGUGCGGUCUCUCUCUCUGUACAGCUGUAAAAUCGUCUGUCACGGUAACUUUUAUUUGCUCUCUGACCUAGGAGUUAUUUAGGAGAGUAGCUUUGAAUUUCCAAGUCGUCUGGCUUCUUUUAAAGAUCCUUUUAGCAAUUUUUAGGUUCACUGCAUUAGCUUAAAUAAUGAGGCCUAUAAAUGUUUUAUUGCUUGGAAUACAGUGAAGUAUAUGUGCAUGUGUGUUCAUGCAUGUGCAUGCACGUACCUAUGUGUACACAUGUACACCUGCACCUAUGCCUGUGUGCACACGUGUGCACACACAUGCACGUACUUGUGAGGACCUGUGGGCCUACGCGUGUGCAUGCGCACACAUGCAUUUGUGCCUGCCCACGUGUGGCUGCAUACAUGCGUGAUGUGUGCACGCGCACACACAUGCACACACAUGUACCCAUGCACACACGUGCACAUGUGUGUACACGUACCUAUGUGCGCACACACAGCCACAUGUGAGCAUCUGUGGACCCGUGUGUGUGUGUGCAGCAUGUGUUUGCCCGUGUGUGGCUGUGUCCAUGUGUGAUGUGUGUGCAUGCACGGGUGUGUAUAUGCCCCUGUGGGGCUGUGCCCAGGUGCACACACACAUGCACACAUGUGGAGAAUGUUCUGUGGUUUCCAGCCAGGUGAGGGCUGUCCAGACAGGGCCUCCGGGAGGGGACUCAGGCCUCGUUCUCCUUCAGUUUUGUCCACCUGCUCCUGGGUUUCUGGCCGAGGUCUGGGCACUGGAGCUGGGCUCCCCAGGUACUCACAAUGACACCCCCGAUCUCAUGCCCCUUCGUGGGCCCAGAUGGCCAGGACUGCUUGUUAACAAGCCACAAAGACAGCUUGAAGCCCCACUGCUGGGCGGCCUGGGAGAGGCUUGUGGGGGACCGCUGUGCUGGCGCAGAGGGUGGCCCUCAUCCUGGUCCUGGCCCGGGUGUGUGCCAGGUCUCCCCUCAACCCUGAAACAAGGAGUGGAGCUUGGAGCGGACCCAGGGGAUUCAGACAGAGCAAGCCCGGUUUUACUCCCAGUCUGCUAAUUGUAGAAAAUCACGUGAAUGCGGAGCUUCUGUUUGUCUAUCGAGACGAUCAUGUGAUGUUUCUCCUUUUAUCUGGGGGCACUGGGGGGCUCAGACAACAGACACCUGUUCCCCCUAGUCCUGAGGCUGCAAGUCCCAGGUCAGGGUGCGGGCGGGGCAGGCUCCCCCGAGGCCUCUCCUGGCCGUGUAGACGGCAUCUCCACCCUGUGUCCUCACGGGCUCUCCCGCUGAGUGUCUGUGUCCUGAUUCGUGUCCCUGUAAGAACACCAGGCAGCACUGGAUCAGAGCCCACCCUCGGGGCCUCGUUUUAGUCACUUCUUUAAAGACCGUGUCUUGGACUUCCCUGAUGGCCAGUGGAUCAGAAUCCAGUGCAGGGGACGUGGGUUCAGUCUCUGGUCCGGGGAGCUUCCACUUGUCGGGGAGAAACUAAAGUCCGUGCUGAGCUUGUGCCCCGGGAGAGGCCCGCAGACUGCAGCGGAGAGUCGUUCCCGCUCAGCACGACCAGAGAAAGCCCGGCAAAACCGGAAAUGAUGAAUAAAUGCGUUAACUAAUUAAGUUAUAGAAAACAACCCUGGUUCCAGUUUUUUGAUCUUGGCAAAGUACGUGCAAUAUUUACCAUGUUAACCAGUUAAAAAAAUGUAUUGGAUUAUAGCUGACUUACGAUGUGUUAGUUUCAGCUGUACAGCAAAGUGAGUCUGUUACAUGUAUAUCCCCUCUUUUCAGACUCUCCACAUGAAGGCCGUUACAGGGUACUAAGGAUAAUUCCCUGGGCUAUACUGUAGGUCUUUAUUGUCUGCUUUAUAUAUGGUAGAGAUGUGCUGUGUGCCGUGCUCAGUCGUGUCCACGUGGACUAUACAGUCCAUGGGAUUCUCCAGGCCAGAAUACUGGAGUGGGUUGCCAUGCCCUCCUCCAGGGGGUCUUCCUGAGCGAGGGAUGGAGCCCAGGUCUCCCCGUUGCAGACGGGCUCUUCACCACCAGGGAAGCCCAUGUGGUAGGUACACUGUGUGUCUAUCAAUCCCAAUCUCCCGAUUUAUCCUGUCCACCUUCCCUCCUGGUAACCACAAGUUUGUUUUGCACGUCUGUAAAUCUGUUUCUGUUUUUAGUUAUGUUAAAUAUUGUAUUUACUUGUUUGGCUGCACUGGGUCUUCGUUGCAGCACGUGUAUCUAGUUCCCUGGCCAGGGAUUGAAGCCGGGACCCCACGUGCCGAGUCCCAGCCACUGGAUCACCAGGGAAGCCUCUCUGCUUCUCUGUUUCACACUCCAGGCAGGAAGUGCGUGCAUGUUGCUGGGCAGCCACCGCCACCGUCCACUCCGAGCGCCUCACAAUGAAUCUUUUAUGGUUACAAAUUGACCCUCUUUGUCUCUACUGAUAAUCUUGAUUAAACUUAAUUUUGUGUAUCAGUAAAAUAGCUAUAAUCUCUCUUUUGACUGCCACAUUCAGCACUUUUGAUGGCCUUCAUUCCUUUCAGU